rnacentral:rRNA from 1 species
AAAGGGCCGCAGUUAUUUUGACUGUGCAAAGGUAGCAUAAUCAUUAGUCUUUUAAUUGAAGGCUUGAAUGAAUGAUUGGACGAGAAAUAAACUGUCUCAAAUUAAAUAAAUUGAAAUUUACUUUUAAGUGAAAAGGCUUAAMUUMAUUUAAGGGACGAUAAGACCCUAUAAAUCUUUAUUAUUUUAUUGGGGUGAUAUAAAUAUAAUAAAUAACUAUUUAACUUUAAUUACAAUAAUUUUUGAUUUUAAAGAUCCUUUAUUAAGAUUUUAAGAUCAAGUUACUUUAGGGAUAACAGCGUUAUUUUUUUUAAGAGUUCUCAUCAAAAAAAAAGUUUGCGACCUCGAUGUUGAAUUAAAAAAUCCUUAUGGUGCAGAAGUUAUAAAGGAAAGUCUGUUCGACUUUUAAAAUUUUACGUGAUCUGAGSSAVKUGSA